UCCUAAUAAGGCCAGAGAUGAACUUGACUGCAUACUGUCAACAACUUGCUUUGUCACCUCCCUUUACAGAUGGCUUUUGUGUGGGAAGCUGUUUGACAGAAGGGAAUGGAGCAGCACAGCAGAGUGUCUUUUGAGUGUAAGGAGAGGUACUUUUCUUCUCUUCCUGAAGAGAAAUAUCUAGAAGAAGUGAUUGGCCACCUUUGCAAAUGUGCCUUGGACCAGCCAUGGGUGUCUGAGAUGUAUCCUACUCAAUAAGAACUUUUGGGGAAACCACCAGAGCAUUCAUUCAGAGAUCAUUGUUUUACUAUCUCUGCAUCAGGGCAUCAUAAGCAUUUGGAAUGAUUCUUCCUGACCAGAAUACACAGAUGGCAUGUUUGGUAAGUGAAAGAAUUCAUGUAGCCUAUAUAACCCAACUGCUUUGCAACCAGUGCUUUGUAAAGUCACAUAAAAACCAAUA
rnacentral:lncRNA from 1 species